GUAGCUUGCUACGGGGAUAAUUAGUGGCAGACGGGUGAGUAAUGCAUAGGAAUCUACCUAGUAGUAUAGGAUAGCCACUAGAAAUGGUGGGUAAUACUGUAUAAUCCCUGCGGGGGAAAGAUUUAUCGCUACAUGAUGAGCCUAUGUUAGAUUAGCUAGUUGGUAGGGUAAAGGCCUACCAAGGCGAUGAUCUAUAGCUGGUCUGAGAGGAUGAUCAGCCACACUGGAACUGAGAUACGGUCCAGACUCCUACGGGAGGCAGCAGUGGGGAAUAUUGGACAAUGGGCGCAAGCCUGAUCCAGCUAUGCCGCGUGAGUGAGGAAGGCCUUAGGGUUGUAAAACUCUUUCAGUGGGGAAGAUAAUGACGGUACCCACAGAAGAAGUCCCGGCAAACUCCGUGCCAGCAGCCGCGGUAAUACGGAGGGGGCAAGCGUUGUUCGGAAUUAUUGGGCGUAAAGGGCAUGUAGGUGGUUUGGUUAGUUAAAGGUGAAAUGCCAGGGCUUAACCCUGGAGCUGCUUUUAAUACUGCCAGACUGGAGUCCGGGAGAGGAUAGCGGAAUUCCUAGUGUAGAGGUGAAAUUCGUAGAUAUUAGGAGGAACACCAGUGGCGAAGGCGGCUAUCUGGUCCGGUACUGACACUGAGGUGCGAAAGCGUGGGGAGCAAACAGGAUUAGAUAC
rnacentral:rRNA from 1 species